rnacentral:tRNA from 1 species
AAGUAAGAAGCAAACAUUGCAAUCAGUUUCGACCUGACCCUUGAUGAGACAAUCAUCCUUACUUU